AGUAGCAUGUGAUUCAUAAAGCAGCAGUGCGUGAAGAGGAGAAGGGUGAUUCACCUGAGAAAUUCACACUGCUUAGUACUGCAGCAUCUCUCAUUUCAGGGAUCUGAAAGCUUUGACAUAUCCAUACCACAGCCUCAGUACUGCCCUUCAUACUGCACAGACUUUCUCUGCAAGCAGCAAGUCUGAAAGAGACCUCAUGUCUGAUCAGCUGCCAUGGAAAUAAAGCCAAAAAGUAUUAUACACCAACUCUCAGUGUCUUUUUGAAAAAGGAAUUGUAUUUUUACCCCAAUUUCAUUGAAAAAUAACAGGCACAGAUAGAUCAACUACCUUUCCUGAACUCAAAACACAAAUAAAUCAGUGGCUAAGCUUUCAUUAAAACCCAGACACAUUCUCAGAUGUGUAUUCUUCCCUCCCACCUUUUAAACGACCUCUAAAAAUCUGUAUUUCCUUAGAGUUCCCCUGAAUUAGCCGAAGGGCAGCAGUGGCUGCAGCUGCUGUGCAGCAGCAGCUGGUUAGGUCUCUCCAUUUCACCCUCCCAUCACACCUUUCCCAUGCCUAGCUGCCUAAACAGGAACUUUCUACCUUUUAAAGUCACGCUUCAAAAUAAAUACCUGCAAUUUUUAAAAUUUUAUUUCUGUGUUGUACUUACACUACAUAAUUCAAACAUAAUGUCUGCUGACACUUGAGCAUUUCAUACACACAGGAGUAUCAAACCUAGUAAGUAGAGAAAAGAGAGCUACAGGAGUAACAGCAUCAACUUCCAAGCAGAUUGAUUGAAUUUAACAAACCAUAAAGCGCUUCAUUUUGGGGUCAGCAAGCUGCUAAGCCUAACAUAUGCAGAUUCUAUUAAUUUCCAUGCCUAGCUCUUGGAAAAACUGAAAGGGGAAGAGGAAGAGAUACAGGAUACACAGGCAGAGCUGCACUGCUGAUGAAGAGGACACAAGAAAGCUUACUCUGCAGUACCAAGCGCUCGGAUGCCAUCUGUCUCUCCUCAGAAGAUCUGAGUUCUGCAGUGCUGGACAAAGAGAUGGGAGGGCUCUGGCCUCCUCAAAACACAGUGACCUAAGCUGUCACACACCUAAACCAGCCUCCAGAGGCCUCUACAGGAGGAGUGGAGCACGGUAAUUAUCUCCAUGUGUUUUAUAUGACAUUUACAUAUCAUUUCCUAGGCU
rnacentral:lncRNA from 1 species